AGCGGCGGACGGGUGAGUAACGCGUGGGUAACCUGCCCUAUACACACGGAUAACAUACCGAAAGGUAUGCUAAUACGGGAUAAUAUAAGAGAUUCGCAUGGAUUUCUUAUCAAAGCUGAGGCGGUAUAGGAUGGACCCGCGUCUGAUUAGCUAGUUGGUAAGGUAACGGCUUACCAAGGCGACGAUCAGUAGCCGACCUGAGAGGGUGAUCGGCCACAUUGGAACUGAGACACGGUCCAAACUCCUACGGGAGGCAGCAGUGGGGAAUAUUGCACAAUGGGCGAAAGCCUGAUGCAGCAACGCCGCGUGAGUGAUGAAGGCCUUCGGGUCGUAAAACUCUGUCCUCAAGGAAGAUAAUGACGGUACUUGAGGAGGAAGCCCCGGCUAACUACGUGCCAGCAGCCGCGGUAAUACGUAGGGGGCUAGCGUUAUCCGGAUUUACUGGGCGUAAAGGGUGCGUAGGUGGUCUCUUAAGUCAGGAGUGAAAGGCUACGGCUUAACCGUAGUAAGCUCUUGAAACUGGGAGACUUGAGUGCAGGAGAGGAAAGUGGAAUUCCUAGUGUAGCGGUGAAAUGCGUAGAUAUUAGGAGGAACACCAGUAGCGAAGGCGGCUUUCUGGACUGUAACUGACACUGAGGCACGAAAGCGUGGGGAGCAAACAGGAUUAGAUACCCUGGUAGUCCACGCCGUAAACGAUGAGUACUAGGUGU
rnacentral:rRNA from 1 species